GGAGAGGUGGCAGAGUGGUCGAAUGUACCUGACUCGAAAUCAGGCGUACGGGCAACCGUACCGAGGGUUCGAAUCCCUCCCUCUCCG
rnacentral:tRNA from 1 species